AGCAAUUGAGUUUUACAAGUGCCAAUGCUUCACAUGCAACCUUAUCAAACAACUUGAGCCCAUAUUCUUGAUGAAUCCAACAAUAUUUUAUGCAUAUACUACAUCCAAUCAUGGAAACAAAAAAAAA